AACGAACGCUGGCGGCAUGCCUAACACAUGCAAGUCGAACGAGACCUUCGGGUCUAGUGGCGCACGGGUGCGUAACGCGUGGGAAUCUGCCCUGGGGUGCGGAAUAACUCGGAGAAAUCCGUGCUAAUACCGCAUAAUGUCUUCGGACCAAAGAUUUAUCGCCCUGGGAUGAGCCCGCGUAGGAUUAGCUAGUUGGUGGGUAAAGGCCUACCAAGGCGACGAUCCUUAGCUGGUCUGAGAGGAUGAUCAGCCACACUGGGACUGAGACACGGCCCAGACUCCUACGGGAGGCAGCAGUGGGGAAUAUUGGACAAUGGGCGAAAGCCUGAUCCAGCAAUGCCGCGUGAGUGAUGAAAGCCCUAGGGUUGUAAAGCUCUUUUACCCGGGAUGAUAAUGACAGUACCGGGAGAAUAAGCUCCGGCUAACUCCGUGCCAGCAGCCGCGGUAAU
rnacentral:rRNA from 1 species